UGCCAGCAGCCGCGGUAAUACGUAGGGGGCAAGCGUUGUUCGGAUUCAUUGGGCGUAAAGGGCACGCAGGCUGCUUGGUAAGUGUGGAUUUAAAGACCGGAGCCUAACUCCGUGUAUGGUCUGCAAACUGCCUUGCUUGAGUAUAGGAUGGGAAACUGGAAUUCCACGUGUAGGGGUGAAAUCUGUAGAGAUGUGGAAGAAUACCGGUGGCGAAGGCGAGUUUCUGGCCUAUUACUGACGCUCAUGUGCGAAAGUGUGGGGAGCGAACAGGAUUAGAUA
rnacentral:rRNA from 1 species